rnacentral:lncRNA from 1 species
CCUGGUAAUUAAGCAAUUAGUUAUAAAGGUGGUUACAUACUAUUUGUUUACCUGUGUAUAUAAAGACGUUCUCCACCGAAUACCAGACACUUUACUGUUAACCUACAGAUCAUCAUGUGGUCAAUGUUGAUAAUGCUCAGUUGUUUUAUUGGUUGUGUGCAGAGUCAAAGUAUGUACAAUAUUCUCAUAGAGGGGGGAUUAUGUAUAUUGGUAAAGACACUUCAUUUUUCUUUAAUUAAUAUCUUACCACUUUCUCUGUCAAAAUAUAUAAUUUGUAACCUUGAUGAGAAAAGCAAAAUCGUUACUUUAAUCUUUAAUCUUUGAUGUUUUGUUUAUUUAAAUGUUUAUAUCGUUUACAAUGUUUCAUUUAUGUUAAUUGUAAUAAAGUUUUUAUGGUAUGAUACUAAAAACAUAAAGGGAGGGAAUUGCUAAAUUUUCAUAUGAUGAAGACAAAUCUUUCAGCCAGUUAAAUUGAGGUCUGUAGCUGGCAUGUCAGUAACUGCUAGUACUCCUUUAUUUAUUUAUUUAUAAUUGACAUUUUCAUUCGUUUCAUCUGUUACCUAUUCUGACAUCGAACUCGGACUUCUUUAUAACUGAGUUUUACUAUGUUUAUUGCUGUGUGUUUAUUCUACAUUGGGCUAGAGGUAUAGGGGAAGGGUAAUAUCGCACAAAACAUGUUUAACCCGAACUAUUUUUGCGACUGUCCAAAGUCAUAAUGACAUAUUCCCCAUUUCCAUUCUCAAUUUCAUUUACAAUGUUGAUACAUAAGUGUCUCUCUAUAUUGAAUAACGCCAAAUCUGAAAACGCUAUAUAGUAGUCAUAGGGCAAACGCGCUAUGAACUACAACUCCAUGAAGGAGUAUACCCAUUUAAUCUUUCAGAACAUUAACUGUACAACUUUUGAUCUUUUAAUUCUCAUAAAAAUAUUUUUGAUCGAUGAAAGUCAGAUUUCCGGUAUUCGUAUGCUUGUAUGAUAAAGUGUUCAUUUUAUAUCCUCAAAAUUCUCGUACAUAUCGGAAAUAAUAAUUUUAUGCUGAGCUUAAUUUUGAUAAGAAUUAUUUAACAUUAAGAUACGUUUAUAGCAUUUGUUUUUGUGUACUGUUUUCUUUAGGUGACAUAUUUAUGGCCUAAUUAACACCUUUGGUGGUCUUAAAUCUGUUGAUCACUUUAUCUAGGGUUAAUUAGUGUUGUCACUACGAUUUACCAUUUUACCGGGUCAAUGUUUACUUUGCAAUUUUCCUCAAUCAAGACAAUUUGUAACCUUCGUUUCUAAAGCUUCAAUUUUCCAAUUUUUUUUUUUAGAAAACUAAAAUCCACGAAUUUAAAAACCCACGAACAUGUAAAUAUUUCUCAAACCACGAAAAUUGAUACCCACGAAUUAAAGUACUUUCACAGUAUAUAUUUAUAGCAGUACCUACCUGCCCAUUCGGAAUACCACUACCUAACAUCCAUUGUGGUAGGGGACAAGGUAGUCAAACCUGCCCGCCUUUGUUUUACUGUAACGUUCACCCGUUGGAUGCGUUUGCUGUGUGUUGCAUGAAGGUCAGUAUUAUACACUUAACGCUGAUAAAAUAAGAAAUUGAUAAACCUUCGUGUUAGUUAUUCCUGAUUCCCGAUAAAGCGCUUCGGACGCACAAAAACUGUAAAGUUAUGAUUCUAUUCAGGAUGUGUUUUUUAUCGUUCAGUGGCAACUUUUUUAAAUGAUGUCUGUCAUACUGUUUUGCUUUUGUUGAAUGUUAAACCAUGCUGUUUAUUAUGUUGAUUUUGUCCGAUUUUGUUAUUUCAGGGCCUUUAAUACCUUACUGUAAUGUAGCUGUGAUGUCAGUAUUCUUUGUUUGAUAUUGUUGUAUUUACAAUGAUAGUACACCGCAUUAUUUUGUUAUCAACAUAAGUCUACGCCUUUCCUCGUGUUAGAAUCAAUUGUUUACAAAUUGGUUAAUUAGCAUUUUUAUAAAUAUCACUUGCUGAUAUUUAACAUUAUUUUGAAUAUCUUACUGAAACACAUAACAUUUAUUUUCCAGCUACCUGGCUAACCUGGUAUGCAUCGUGUUGUUUGUACAAAGUAAUGAUGUCAUCAUAGAUGUAUGGAUCCUACUUGCUGACCAUUUUUUUGACACACAUAAAUACAUAAACUAUUUAAUAAACUUGACUUUGAGAUAAAAAUGAAAGACGUGUUCUUUUUUGUCGUAGCCCAAUCCUGUCAUGCAAUUAAUGUAAUCCACAUAUGCGACAUAUGCGACAUACCAUGCAUUAACUGCAAUGAGGAAAAGGGGUGUUUUGUGUUUCAUGUGUUUCACAAAAUGACAUUUUCUGUUUAUUUCUUUGGUUUUUUUUCUGUUUAAUUUUAACGAUUGUGUGUUUAGUGGAUCUUCACCUUACUGUUUUAAUUUUGUCCUGUUUGUAUUAUUAUACCGCUUUAACAUAGUAUCUAUAAAAUACUUCAUUUAAGAAAUGUUUCCAAUUUUUGAAGUAUUCUUCAUAAUUAAUCUUUCAUAUGUUUCCAUUCUAAUUCAGUUAUUGAAUCGUGCAUACAAUGAUGGACUAUUUGACCAAGAGUAGUCAGUGGUUUGGUUCUGACUUAGUUUAUAAAAUACGUUAUACAUUUCCCUGUUAAUAUAUUGACAAAAUUGAAAACAUUAUAGUGACGUCAUUCUAUUGUUGUAUCUGUUCUUCAAUUUCUUCUUUCGCGUAUCUGUUUUUGGCAUAUUUGGAUCGCCAACGAGCAUGAACUUCGAAAAGAUUAUCUGCAACACAGUUAUUUGCGGCUUGAGUAGCGCCUCCGCGUUGUGAAUUAUGCAGACCGAAUUGCAUGUUGUCUAAACCUAUUGCACUUAAAUCUAAGUGACAAAUUGUGCUGGUUCUAAUAUAAGAUAAAGGCUUAUUUUUUUACUCAAUACCAAAACAUCUCUUUUAAACUGUAAAAAUGGAAAACGAUAAAAAAUUAUCUCAGUGCUGGCAAAUUCCCAAUAAUGUUUACAAAUUAGCAGGACAAGUCGGCAUAAUCAGACUUCUUAUCAUAACUCUGUAAUCCUGUCUGUAAAUAUCGGUCUUCCUAUCUAUAACUCUGUAAUCCUGUCUGUAAAGAUCGUUCUUCUUAUCAUAACUCUGUAAUCCUGUCUGUAAAUAUCGGUCUUCCUAUUUAUAACUUUAAUUUCAACGUGAGUAUUUUGAAAACUGAUAUCACUCAUUCUUAUAUACUAGAUUUCUUUGUAUCUAAGAAAUCCAGUAUGAGCUAAAAAUAACAAUCAAAGUAACAUACUGUUGGACAAGCAAUAUUUAUCAUGAU